AUGGAAAUGUUCUGGGUGAACCUGUCCAACCUCCUGAACGAGCUCAACCCUGUGGGGCUCCGAGUGGCCGUGACCCUGCUGGAGUCUGGGGGGGACCUCCAGCCCCCCGGGGGGUCCCUGACUCUGCUCUGCCGCGGGUCUGGGUUCAAUUUCGGGAGUUUUGGAAUGAUGUGGAUCCGCCAAAAACCUGGAAAGACCCUGGAAUGGGUCGCAGGGAUCCAGAGCAAUGGUGGCACCACCGCCUACGCACCGUCGCUCAAGGGCCAGUUCAGGAUCUCCAGGGACAACGGGCAGAACUCGGUGACGCUGACCAUGAACAACCUCAAGGAUGGGGAUUCCGGCGCCUAUUUCUGUGCCAAAUGUGCCACCAGUGGUUGUUGGGCUCGUGCUUAUGCUGCUGAUUGUUUUCACCUCGUCCCCAUCUCUAUGUCCCCACCUGUCCCCAAAGGUCCUCAGACUUUUUCCCCAGAUCCCAACCUUUGA